CUUGCCGCUUGCUUUUGGGAAGUUCCCCGGACCACACGAUGGAAAGCAUCAGUCGGAAACGACAAAAUCCCCACUGUGAUGCGUUCGGCGAAGAUGGGCAUGCUGGCAACAGCAGGCCCUGAGCCUGCAGAACAACUGGGCAGUAUUGGUCUUAUCAAAGUUAUACAGUCGGCCGCCAGCUCUUGUUGGUGGCUUACUCAAUGGGGG
rnacentral:RNase_MRP_RNA from 14 species